rnacentral:rRNA from 1 species
UACAGAGGGGGCAAGCGUUAUUCGGAAUUAUUGGGCGUAAAGGGCGCGUAGGCGGCUUUGCAAGCGGCGGGUGAAAUCCCUCGGCUUAACCGAGGAACUGCCUGCCAGACUGUGAGGCUUGAGACCGGGAGAGGUGAGUGGAAUUCCCAGUGUAGCGGUGAAAUGCGUAGAUAUUGGGAGGAACACCAGUGGCGAAGGCGGCUCACUGGACCGGAACUGACGCUGAGGCGCGAAAGCGUGGGGAGCAAACAGG